rnacentral:rRNA from 1 species
CGAAGGUGGCAAGCGUUGUUCAGAUUUACUGGGCGUACAGGGAGCGUAGGCGGUUCGGUAAGCCCUCCGUGAAAUCCCCAGGCUCAACCUGGAAAGUGCAGAGGGGACUGCCGGGCUAGAGGAUGGGAGAGGAGCGCGGAAUUCCCGGUGUAGCGGUGAAAUGCGUAGAGAUCGGGAGGAAGGCCGGUGGCGAAGGCGGCGCUCUGGAACAUUUCUGACGCUGAGGCUCGAAAGCGUGGGGAGCAAACAGGAUUAGAUACCCUGGUAGUCCACGCCUUAAACGAUGGAUACUAAGUGUCGGCGGGUUACCGCCGGUGCCGCAGCUAACGCAGUAAGUAUCCCGCCAGGGAAGUACGGCCGCAAGGUUG